rnacentral:rRNA from 1 species
GCCUCAAGAUGAGACUUCCCGGGGCACAAGCCCCCUAAAGGAACCAUAUAGACUAUGUGGUUGAUAGGUCAGGUGUGUAAGUACAGCAAUGUAUUGAGCUAACUGAUACUAAUGAUCCGUGCGGCUUGACCAUAUAACCUCA